CUCAGAUACGUCAUGUGACUUUCCCAAGUCAUGAGAGGCUUACCAACUUGUCCCAAUUUCCCUGGGACUUUGCUGGUUUUAAAACUGGAGGGCCCUCAUCCUGGGAAGCCCCUCAGUCCUGGGUAAGCCAGGCUGGUUGGUCACCCUGCAGCUACGGCAAGAGGCUGAGAUGAGUGCCAGUUACCUGCUCCGGAGGACUGUGGAGCCUGGGCGAGCCACCCCCUCCUUCUGCAGGGAGAACACGAGACUUGGUUCCAGAGGUCAGAAGCCCAACAUGGGUCUUGGCGGGCCAAACCCAAGCUAUCAACAGGGCCACAUUCCUUUCUGGAUGCUCUAAGGAAAAAAUCAUUUCCUUGCUCGCUGAGUUAUUGGCAGAAUCAAGUUCCUUGCAGUUGUAGAACUGAAACUCCUAUUUCCUUCCUUGGCACAUGGUCACCUUCUUCUACCUUCAAAGCCAGCAAUGGCCAGGCUCUCUCAGGUGAUGGACAAGGAACCAGAGUGGAAGGAGUUUUUCACAGACUGGUCGCUUCUCUGGCUCAGCCCCUAGACAAGUGUCUCAACACCCGUGACCUUCAGUUCCCUCAUCCAGAUGACAGAAAUCCUCAGGCUCGCCAGCCUCCCUCCCUGGACCAUGAACAGGCUCUGACAACUCUCAAGCACAGUUGUAAUUCCAAGUCAUGUUGUGAUGAAAAGAAAAUGGGGCUGAUCUUGUUAAGUUUCCCAAGGAAAUCUGCAUAGUUUUCUGACCCCUUUCCCAGAGACCAGAGAGGAAAUUGAGAAUGAAGCCCCAGCGGAGCCAGCACCCUGAAAGAAGUGUGUGCAAGCCAUGGAUUUCGAAAUAGAGA
rnacentral:lncRNA from 1 species